AGUUUCAUUUGCAGUUCGUAUGAAACUACUGACCGCGAUCUUCUCGGUUUAUUAUCAGAUAUUUUUUUAACUCUUCUGCGAAACUGGAAUAUCGCGAUUUUACAAUUCAUUUUGUGACAAGCUAGUACAUCUGACGGCUGCGAAUAGAAGAUAUACAGACAAGCAAUUAUGGAUCGUUGGCUUGGUAAAACCGCAGUCGUUACCGGCGCUGGAUCCGGCAUGGGCGAAGCAAUUACACGUGCUCUUCUGCGAAACGGAGUGAAUGUGGUUGCUCUGGAAGUCCUGAAAGAAAGAUUAGCAAAACUUGAUGCGGAUUGUAAGCGAGAACGUUUCCCGGGCAGAUUAUAUACUAUAUGCUGCAACGUAUCUCGCGAGGACGAGAUCGAUGCAGCAUUCUUGCAAAUUGAAACGUUCGGUGGUGUGGAUAUUAUGGUCAACAAUGCUGGCAUUAUUGAGGUAUCACGAAUAAUAGAUAGCAACAGGAAGACAUUUGAAAAGAUAUUAAAUACUAAUGUUCUCGCAGUCGCAGUAUGUAUGAAUAAAGCAGUUAAUUCGAUGCGCAAGCGAAACAGUGAAGGACAUAUUUUCAAUAUCAACAGUAUUGUGAGCCAUCACAGAAUACCGAACGAUUUGUUUGAAUGUAAUAUGUAUUUCUCUAGUAAACAUGCAUCUCUUGCUCUGACUAACACAGUGCGACGUGAAGUAGGAAAAAUUAAGGCACCUAUUCGAGUUACUGGCAUUAGUCCUGGUACUGUAAAAACAAAUAUAGUUGCGCAUGACGAUAGUUUGAAAAACUUUUUUGAGAAAGCACAGUAUAUUCUACCGGAGGACAUAGCGGAUGCGAUCAUUUAUGCUCUUGGAACACGACCGAGUGUUCAGAUUACGGAACUCACGAUUCAACCUACCGGAGAAUUAAUGUGAGGAAUAUCUUCAGUAAGAGCCUGUCUAUUAAUGCAUCAACAACUUUACGACAAACAACUUUUCGCUUACGAUAAAGUAAAGAAAUGCAUACUCGAAAUUUAUAGUCAGUAUACUAUCAGGAAACGAAAUACUGACUAUCAGAUAUCGCUGUUGUUUAUCUCCCACGAUGCCUUGUACUUGUACAUGUCGUUCUAAAAAGAUAUACACGACAUUCCGAUUUGUGACAAAUUCAGCUUAUCGCGAAGCAACGUUAUCGGCAAUGCGUUCGCGUGUAAUCGUUGCAUUCAAAUUUCGACGAAGUGGCUGCUACACACACCCAAUAGUUACGUCCUGCUUGUCGUAUGACAAAUACAGCGUUAUUUGGCAUUUAUACAUGAACGAUUGAAAUGCGCGUUUCCUAUACACAAAAUGUGCGUCUCUCAUAUCUACGUUGUGCAUCCGUAUGCGUGCUUCUAAACAUGAAUUUCCGACAAUAACGGCUUACAGCCGUACCGAGCUCGACUGUCAACUAUGGAGGCAUUCGAGUGCGAGCGAUAGUUAAGGUGUCAAACAAGUUCCGUCGUGCUUCGCGCAGUUCGAAGGAAUCGCGUAGCGUUAUCAGGAAAAUCGAUUUUCGCGGCAUGCAUCGGGUGUCGAGUCCUGUCAAAAUCUAAGUGUAUGCCUCGUAUUCUAGUUCUGCGAUUAGAUCUCUUCUCACAGCGUUAUAAUCAGAUAUUAUAUGCUAU